rnacentral:rRNA from 1 species
UACAGAGGAGGCAAGCGUUGUUCGGAUUCAUUGGGCUUAAAGCGCGUGUAGGCGGCUUGGUAAGUGUCGCGUGAAAUCCCGUCGCUCAACGACGGAACUGCGCGGCAUACUGCCUGGCUUGAGGUCGGUAGGGGUGCCUGGAACUCUAGGUGGAGCGGUGAAAUGCGUAGAUAUCUAGAGGAACGCCUGAGGCGAAAGCGGGGCACUGGGCCGAAUCUGACGCUGAGACGCGAAAGCGUGGGGAGCAAACAGG